UACGUAGGGGGCAAGCGUUAUCCGGAAUCACUGGGCGUAAAGGGUGCGUAGGCGGCUAAAUAAGUCAGGGGUGAAAGGCAUUGGCUCAACCAAUGUAAGCCUUUGAAACUGUUUAGCUUGAGUGCAGGAGAGGUAAGUGGAAUUCCUAGUGUAGCGGUGAAAUGCGUAGAUAUUAGGAGGAACACCAGUGGCGAAGGCGACUUACUGGACUGUAACUGACGCUGAGGCACGAAAGCGGGGGGAGC
rnacentral:rRNA from 1 species